UACGUAGGGUGCAAGCUUUGUCCGGAAUUAUUGGGCGUAAAGAGCUCGUAGGCGGUUUGUUGCGUCGGCUGUGAAAUCCCGAGGCUCAACCUCGGGUCUGCAGUCGAUACGAGCAAACUAGAGUGUUGCAGGGGAGACUGGAAUUCCUGGUGUAGCGGUGAAAUGCGCAGAUAUCAGGAGGAACACCGGUGGCGAAGGCGGGUCUCUGGGACGGUACUGACGCUGAGACGCGAAAGCUAGGGGAGCGAACAGG
rnacentral:rRNA from 1 species